AGUCAAACGGAAAUUUGUAAAGAAGGGUUUUAAUUUGAAUACGGAGCGUUCCGAUUCUUCUGAAACCAGAGCGGCGGAAAAAAGGGUUUCUGGGUUUCUACUUCUUCUUCCUUCUGAACCCACAAUCUACUCGUCCACAGUUUAAUCAGAUGUCUCUCUGUAAUUUCUCUUCGUAGAUCAGAUUCGAGAAAACACUCAGUUUCUCUCUCUCCGUCAAAAGCAUUCUGUUUUUGCGCUUUUAAUUUCCCUACUAUAUUGCCUGCACUGGUUUAAAGAAAAAGGAAAAUUGCUCUCUGUUGCUGUUUCCGUGGUUUUGGGUAGAGUAAAAGGUGCAUACAAUUUCAGUUCUGGGGUUAUUAUACAAGUUUGAUGUUAGUUGACGGGUUGCUGGUGAUUCACUUCUCUCUGGAAGAUGUACACUGAAGGUCUCGACAACAGUGCCCUUCGAUGGGUCAAAAAGAGUUCUGUUAACCAGACAAAGGAAGUUCCUUAUUCAAUGUCGAACCUACAGCUCCGAAGCCGCGCUGGCCGGGGUAUUGGCCUCCCUCCGCCAUCAAAUUUUCUUAAACCCUACCCGGGGAUGAUAUUAAUGACAGUCGCUUCGUGUCUGAAACGAAUGACCACUGAGUCAGAGGAUGAGGUUUACGGAGGAGAUAUUCCAUCGAUUCGUUCCCCCUAAAUGAUAGAGUUCUCACUAACAAUGCAGCUGCACAAAGAUACUACAGUUCUGCUCAGAGGCACAGCCUAUUUAUGCCAGUUGGUUUGUGUAUUCGGAUGAUGUUACUUCUUCUAGGGAAAAAUAGGGAGAGGGAAUGAGAAUGUCGCCGAGAGUCUGGUGAGGGGAGCCAAUAGGUGUCCGAUUGGAAGGAAUGCUUAUACUGAGGAUGAACCCUAUGAUUCUGCUGCAAGCUCUAAGUUUUCGAGCACGCAAGUGGGAGAGCGUAUGCCUCAGAGAUUUCUAUUCCAUCAUGUCAGAGGGCAGUGCAAGUGACUCUGAUGUGGAUAAUGAAAGUCGAGAUGGAGUGGAUGUUGAAACAGAUGAAGAGGGUGGAAUAUAUUUUGAUACAAAUGAAGUUUUAUCAUCGGAUUCUUUCAGAUGUGCUUCCUACCGGAGCAGAGAGAACAUGGGAAGUAAUUGUAGUUCUUUGAUAUUUGAUAAAGAGAUGUUACAAUGGAGAUAAAGCCCAUCGAAUAUCCAUACGUCAAAAGGAGGGACAGUUUGCCUGAACCAAAGGAGAAAGAGAAGCCACUUGGGUUGUGGUCAAUAAUCAAGGACAAUAUCGGAAAGGAUCUUUCUGGUGUUUGCCUCCCUGUUUACUUUAAUGAGCCACUAUCUUCAUUGCAGAAAUGCUUUGAAGAUCUGGAGUACUCAUACUUGGUUGAUCGGGCAUUGGAAUGGGGAAAGCAGGCCAGGUAUGAAAGAUUUCCAGUUAUUGCUAAAGGUAUGGAUGUUUUUAUUUUAGAGGCCCACUAUUCUAGCCUUUGCUGGAUUGCCCAUUGAUUAAAAGGAUUUUCCUUGGGUAUUGUUAUUGUGAGAUGCAUAAUUGUCUUGGGCAUUAGAUGGUACUUAACGGCAUCUAAUUCCCAAAUGGAGUUAUGAACUUGCUGAUUUGAUCACUUAUGAUGAUGUCUAUGAAUGCUGAUUUAUGACGACAAAGGGGAAACUAAGUUUUGAUGUAUUAUUCUAGUGAAUAAUUUUUAUAAAAUUUUGCAGUGUAAAGAGUUUUUGAAGCUUGAGAAAAUGAUGGUAGUUCGUGGGCGGCUUUUUUGUGUGUAGCCUUAGUUAUAUUUGUUAAGUGCAAAUUGUUUGGAGUGUGGAGUAGUUGGGGGAACCUUCAAUAUAUCAAGUGGUCUUUGUUUCUUUACUAGAUUCUUUUUUGUUGUAGGAUCCCUUUGGGGUUUGGUAUAGGUAGGCUCCAAACUAGAUGAUGGUGAAAAACCUGUUCGAUAUGAGUUUCUCUUUGAUGGUUUGAUGUAUAAACUAUGAUUGGGUCUUGGCAAGGGGACUAACCGUAAUGAAUUGUUUGGUAUGUCUUUCCGGUCCUAAAUUUUUUAUUCUAUUAUUUUCUAAUGACUCUUCUGAUUUUGUCCUAUCAUCUUAUGCUUUUUACGCAUUGACUACUGGUCUAUUUCUAUUCCUUUGAAGCAUCUGCUCACUUUCAACCAUUUAGAGAGACCAACAUAUUUGAUGAAAAUGUUAGAAAAUUACGCAGAGGUCAUUCAGUCCACUAUGAUUAUUAAAGGUAAAAUUUCAUAUUUUGUACUUUGAGGUCACUUUUUUGGUUUUUUCUUGAUUGCUCAUUCCUUAGAAAUAUGCAUGCAUUGGAGGUAAAUGGGCUUUCUAUCUUUAUUUGUUUCUUUUGAGAUGCAAGAUCCCUUUUGGGUUCGGUGCAUGUCGGCUUCAACUUGGACGGUUGUGAAAAAAAUGCUUGAUUUGGGCUUCUCUUUAAUGUUUGAAGUUUAACCAUGAUUACUUGUUUGGAAUUUCUUUCUAUUUUUUUACCGUCUUCGCUAUCGAAUUGCUAUUUUGAUUUGUCAACUUAUGAUUUUUGCAUAGAGAGAUGCUAGGAACACAUCAAUUUGUCACACCCCAACCACACCCGUUUCACAUACAUGUGGGGUCUGCACAUUUAUUGUGGGAUUUUCACACAUGUAUGUGAGGGGUGUGAUUGGGUGUGAUAAAUUGAUGUGUCCCUAGUAUUAUUGUAUUUCUAUAUUUCUAUUUCUAUUUCUUUGAAGCAUUGGCUCAUUUUCACACAUCUAUAUUUCUAUUUCUUUGAAGCAUUGGCUCAUUUUCAAUCUAUUUAGGCAGGAACUCUUUGUUACUCACAACUUCUAUGAAAAGGUAUGAAAAUAACUAACACACUGUCUUUGCCUUUGCGUUUAAUAUCGACCCUCAUUCAAUCCGCACUGACAUUAUUCCUCCGAAGCAUUGGCUCACUUUCAAUCUAUUUUGGGAGGAACUCUUUGUUACUCACGCAUUCAAUGAAAACAGAUAUGAAAAUUACUGCUCUGUUUCGAUGCCUUUGCUUUUAAUGUCAACCAUCAUUCAAUCUGCACUGACACUAUUUCUACUUUUGUAUAUGGGUUGUUUUGUCUUCCUCUUCCAUUACUAUGUAAUUUGUUGUAGAUGUUAUUUCUCCUUGGAUUUAACUAAGUAUUGUCGUGCUCGAUUCGAAAACUGGAAAGAGAAAGAAUUUCAUAAGGACUCUUGAAAAUAGGGGGAUGAGAAGCUUAGGAGGAGGGGAGUUACUUUAUUUGUGUGUGCAUGGCCGGCUUUGGGCUAAGGCCCAAGAGGCGUGGGCCUUAAGCCCCCCCAAAAUGUCCAAAAAUUAAGGCCUCACACAUUUUUUUAGGACCUAGUAUAUAUGUGUUGUUAUAGGGCCCAUUUUUACAUGAGAAAAUUAGCCAUAAGGACGGUAAAAUAGUUUUCAUUUAGGGGAAGGACACCAGCAAAAUAGUUUUCAGUGAAGAUCCUUCAACUUUUUGAGUUUUUUAGCCAUAAGGCUAAAACAUGUUUAGGCACUUUCAUAGGGUUUUAGGGUGCACUAUCUUAUUAUAGGGUUUAGUGGUUUAGGCACUAUCAUAGGGUACCCUAGGGUUUUAGGCACUUUCAUAGGCACAUUUGUCCUUAUGUUUGAUUGCAAAAGGUGCUUGUCCCUGAGCUCAAAAAAUGUAAAUAUGAGGGUAUUUUUUUUUGCUAAGUCUCCCUUUUUACAUUUUACACUUAAGGCCCAAUGUCCCAGUAAAAAUGAGACGAGGAAUAAAAGAAAAAAAACAGAUAGGAGGAAUAAAAGGUCAUGGGAUCGUUGCAGAUCUCUGAGGCCCUUCAACCUUAUUCAGUGUGGUGGGUGCAUGGAUGCAUCUUUUUCCCUUAAACGCUACUCCAGUAAUUCCCAUUACAAGCAAAUACAAUGAAGAAGGAAGAAUAAGAACAAACAAAACUAUGGCCAAAGAAAAAAACCGAGAGGAAGAAGAGUGAUGUUUAAGUAAAGAUAAUGAUGCUUUUGAAAUAUUGUGGUAUUGUAUUUUUUGUGGGGCUUCCUGCGUUGGAUACAUGUAUUUGGUUUUGAAAGAAAAGUCCAUUUAUCGACUUUUUAUUUGAUUUUCGUUUACAAUUAUUAAGGGUCUCACUUUGAAAGAUCGUUUUUGGCCUUCAAUAUCUCAGAGUUGGCCCUGUGUGUGCGCUUUGAAUAUAAGAUUUGAGGGCCUUUUAUAGGCCAAGUUGCUUUAUUUGUGUGUUUGAAAUAUAGGAGAAACCAUUGUUCUUGUAUUGCCUCCAACAUCAUUUGCCCAAUGUCUCAUUUCUUCCUUUCAUUGUGUUGUGAAUAUGUUAAGGCCAUUUUUCAAACUGGUUGUUGAAAAAUAUUUCUCCGUAUGAGUUGCCCAAAAAUGAGUUCCAAAGAAGGUGAAACAUCUCUUCCUUUUACAAAAAAAUGAAGACACCAUAGUUGAUACGUGCAGACACAAUAUUUUCAUUUGUAUUUCUAUAUUUGUACACAAUAGUUGAUACAUGCAAACUAUUCUUUACGCCAUCAAAACAAGUUUCAAGUUAUGAAAUUUCAUACAGUAUAGUUAACCUUUUUUUGCCUUACUAUUUUGGGUGUAUGUUUUAUAGCCUUAUGCUACCAUAUGGAUUUGGUACUUGUCGGGUUUUCACCAUUGGAAUGUUCAGCUAGUAAAGAAUAUGAAACAUAGAACCAAUCAAGAGGAGACACACACUAUCUUUGGUGCAUUUGAUUAAAUUGUGUAAAAGCUAUUAUCUUUCCCUCUCCCCACCGUGUCCAUAUCUUGAUUUUUUCGACGGCAUCAUGUCCAUAUCUUCCUUUGUCUUUAUACCCGUGUCCGGGUCUUUGUGGUUAAGGAUGGGUCGUAUCAUGUUGUCAAUUUCUUCCAGCAAACGUCUAACUCAUUGUUCCCUUUUGAACUUCAUGAGAUUGUCCAUGCAAAAGCUGAGGUAAUUGAGGAAUCUGCAAAGAUUGAUAUGCUUCUCAAAGGCAAGAGGGGAGACAAAGGGUAAAAGAGAAGAAGUCUAGGUACACAAGAACAAUGACCCAAUCACUUCAAAACCUCAAGGAAAUGGUGCCUCCUCCCAUGUUGCAACAGAACAGCACAACGAGAAGAAAACUCGUUGCAACGGCAACCUCGUGGCGACAAAACACAGUUGCAUUCUUUCUGUCUCUCUCUCUCCCUCUCUCAGUGAGCACAAGUUGGCCAGGUACACCCGCCGAAUGAAAGCAGUGCCUUUUGAAGAUGCGAAGAAGUUCUCAAAUAGUGAACAUAAGUUCUAUUGACAUCAAGGAGCUAUCUUCCCCUGCAGCGUAAUAAGUACGCCUUCGAUUGACUUAAUUUGUUAUUCUCAAAAUGGAGGCCUUUGUUCACACUGAAUAGAGGGCAUUUGUCGAUGACUUACUAAGAGGUUGUCAUUAAUAAGGCGUGUUUGUAUUCUUGUUGAAGUCGUUUUCAUAUUAAAAAAGGAGGCAUGGACUCAGUUUAUGGUCAAGGGAUUGGAGCAUGGAUGCCCCCUUCAGGUUGAACUUUAUAGGAACGUUGUCCAUAUAUUCUGGUUUGAUACUUGACGAUUUCGUAAUGGAUAAAGAGAGUACCAUUCUUCUUGCACUACAUUUGUAAGUAUCCUUUAACAUUCCUAAUGAUAAAGAGAGUACCAUUUGGCCCUGUGUACUGAAUGGGCAAAACACUAAUGAUAAAAAAUAUAGUUUAAUACUUUUUUGGUUCCGUGUUCGAUACACGCAAGCAUUGGUCUCAUUCUAUGUGUGGUAGAAAAUGAAUUUGGAGUACCAUGUGUCAGUACUCCUCCAGAAGCAUAAAAUAUUUUUUUCUCCAUAUUCAACCCUCAAGUCUCGCUCUUGCCCCCUCUCCCACGUUCCUCUCUCUCUCUCCCCCCCCUCGCAACUUCCCCACAUUUCUCUCUCUCUCUUUAUCGAAACACCCACACACCCACACACUCUCUCUCUUUAUUUUUUAUAAACAAAAAAAAAAAAAUGCAAAACGUAGAAAUUUAAGAUUGAAGGUUUGGAAGCUUUUAAAGGAAAAACACAUUUGUUUAGUAUGUAGUAAAGAUAGAAAGAUAUAGAUUGCAAAACCAUCUCAGGAGGAACAAGCACUGUAACAAUAACACUUAAAAUCAGAGGAUACUUUUAUGAUCGCCUAAAGUGAAUCUUUAGAAUCCCUAGCAUCUAGAAUGGUAAAGCAUAAUAGUAGAGGGUAAGAAACAGAUACCUCGACGAUGUUUUAUCUUCAAUAUUUGGCUAAUUAAGGAAUGGUUUAUUGGUUAAUUUUAUUCGGAAACCUUUUGGAUAUCAGUAGAGUUCAAGUGUCCAGUUUAGGCUACUUCAUUUUCAAAGAUUUGCAAAUAAGAACAUACAAUGAAAUCGCCCCCAAUGGGUACCUUUGAAUUGGAACAAUAUCCUAGUGAUAGGCUACUUCUUUUUCGUAUAUUGGCGAGUAAGUGUGUUGCUUCAACUUCACUACUUUAAAUUUAUGUUUUCCGAGUGCUUUUUGAUGAAGGUGUUGGAGAUAAGCUUAAUAAUUUUAUUUUUGGCUAAUGUUUUUAUGAGUUGAGGAGCAAAGAGAGAGUUCAGAGUUAUGAGAGGGCUUGAGCCUGCACACGUAAGAGGUGGAUUUUUUAUUGGGUUGGAAAUGAGUAGCUUGUUAACAUGAGACUUAUGAUGCGGGCUAUAUCAAUUUCAUGCUCAAUGGUUACUAAUUGUGGUGAUGGUAUGCUCCUCUCUUUUUCAUAGCCAUUUAGUGACAUGAAUUUCCCUGAUUAUUAUGCAUGAUCGUUCAUAUCCUGGUUUGAACUUUAUAGGAAGGUUGUCCACAUAUUUUGGUUUGAUGCUUGACGAUUUCGUAAUGGAUAAAGAGAGUACCAUUCUUCUUGCACCACAUUUCUAUUUAUCCUUUACCAUUCCUUACCACUAGCGUUUGUUCCCGUUCAAUAAACUGGAUUAAAAAAUCAGAUUGGUUUUUUCGGCCCCGUGUAUUUAACGGGCACAACACUCAUGAUAAAAAAUAUUGUUUCAUAGUUUUUCAGUUCCGUGUUCGAUACACACUAGCAUUGGUCUCAUUCUGUGUGGUAGAAAAUGAAUUCAGAGUACCACGUGACGGUACUCCUCCAGGGGCAUAGAAUAAUUUUUUCUCCAUAUUGAAUCGCAAAGUCUCUCUCUUGUCCCCUCUCCCACACACUCACUCACACACACACACUCUCGCUCUCUCUUUAUUAAACAAAAAGAAAUCCAAAAUGUAGAAAAUUAAGAUUUAAGGUUUGGAAGCUUUUAAAGGAUAAACACAUUUGUUUAGUUUAUAGUAAUGAUAGAAAGAUAUAGAAUACAAAACCAUUUCAAGAGGAACAAGCACUGGAACAAUAACACUUGAAAGCAGAGGAUACUCUUAUGAUCGCCUAAAGUAUGAUCGCUUGAAGUGAAUUUUUAUUGUCCCUAGCAUCUAGAAAGGUAAAGCAUAAUAGAAGAGGGUAAUAAACAGAUACCUCGACGAUGUUUUAUCUUCAAUAUUUGGCUAAUUAAGGAAUGGCUUAUUGGUUAAUUUUAUUCAGAAACAUUUUGGAAAUCAGUAGAGUUCAAGUGACCGGUUUAGGCUACUUCUUUUUCAAAGAUUGGCAAAUAAGUAUACAUUGAAAUCAUUCCUAAUGAGUACCUUGUAAUUGGAACAAUGUCCAUAAGAUAGGCUACUUCUUUUCGUAUAUUGGCGAGUAAGUAUGUUGCUUCAACUUCACUACUUUAAAUUUAUGUUUUCCGACCUCUUUUUAUUGAAGGUGUAGGAGAUAAGUUUAAUAAUUUUAUUUUUGGCAUGUGUGUUUUUGUGAGUUGAGGAGCAAAGAGGGAGUUCAGAGUUAUGAGAGGGCUUGAGUCUGCACAUGUGAGGUGGAUUUUUUGUUGGGUUGGAAAUUAGUAGCUUGUUAACAUGAGACUUAUGAUGCAGGCUAUAUCAAUUUCAAGCUUGAUGGUUAGUAACCGUGGAGAUGGUAUUCUCCUCUCUUUUUCAUAUCCAUUGAGUUUGUCUGAUUAUUAUGCAUGAUUGUUCAUAUCAUGGUUUGAACUUUUUAGGAAGGUUGUCCACAUAUUCGGUUUGAUGCUUGACGAUUUCAUAAUGGAUAAAGAGUGUACGAUUCUUCCUGCACCACCUUUGUAAAUAUCCUCUACCAUUCCUUACCACUAGCGUUUGUUCCCAUUAAAUACACUGGAUUAAAAAAUCAGAUUGGUUUUUUCGGCCCUGUGUAUUGAACGGGCACAACUCUAACGAUAAAAAAAUAGUUAAAUACUUUUUCGGUUCCCUGUUCGAUACACACUAGCAUUGGUCUCAUUCUAUCUGUGGUAGAAAAUGAAUUUAGAGUACUACGUGACGGUACCCUUCCAGGGGCUUAGAAUAUUUUUUUCUCCAUAUUCGACCCAAAAGUCUUGCUCUUGUCCCCUCUCAGAUGUUACAUUUUCUCUCUCUCCCCCCCAACUUUCCCACAUUUCUCUCUCUCUGUCAACACACACAUACACACAGUCUCUCUCUCUCUCUCGCUCUAUUUUCUAUAAACAAAAAAAAAAAUCCAAAAAUGUAGAAAAUUAAGAUUGAAAGUUUUGAAGCUUUUAAAGGAAAAACACAUUUGUUUAGUAUAUAGUAAAGAUAGAAAGAUGUAGAUUGCAAAACCAUCUCAAGUGAAACAAGCACCGUAACAAUAACACUUAAAAUCAGAGGAUACUUUUAUGAUCGCAUAAAGUGAAUCUUUAGAGUCUCUAGCAUCUAGAAAGGUAUAGCAUAAUAGUAGAGGGUAUGAAAUAGAUACCUCGACGAUGUUUUAUCUUCAAUAUUUGGCUAAUUAAGGAAUGGUUUAUUGGUUAAUUUUAUUAGGAAACCUUUUGGAUAUCAGUAGAGUUGAAGUGUCCAGUUUAGACUACUUUUUCAAAGAUUGGCAAAUAAGAACAUACAUCGAAAUCGCUCCCAAUGAGUACCUUUGAAUUGGAACAAUGUCCUUGUGAUUGGCUACUUCUUUUCAUAUAUUGGCGAGUAAGUGUGUUGCUUCAACUUCACUACUUUAAAUUUAUGUUUUCCGACUGCUUUUUGAUGGAGUUGUUGGAGAUAAGCUUAAUAAUUUUAUUUUUGGCCUGUGUGUGUUUGUGAUUUAAGGAGCAAAGAGAGAGUUCAGAGUUAUGAGAGGGCUUAAGCCUUCACAUGGGAGAGGUGGAUUUGCGUGAGGAUGGAAAUGAGUGGCUUGUUAACACGAGACUUAUGAUGCUGGCUAUAUGAAUUUCAAGCUCGAUGGUUACUAACCGUGGUGAUGGAAGGUUGUCUACAUAUUCUGAUUUGAUGCUUGAUGAUUUCGUAAUGGAUAAAGAGGGUACCAUUCUUCCUGCAUCACAUUGGUAAGUAUCCUCUACCAUUCCUUAACACUUUUUUUUUUCCCCGUUAAAACAUCAGAUUGGUUUUUUCGGCGCCCUGUAUUUAACGGGCAGAACACUAAUGAUAAAAAAAAAUAUUUUAAUACUUAUUCUGUUCCGUGUUCAAUACACACUAGCAUUGGUCUCAUUCUACGUGUGGUUGAAAAUGAAUUUAGAGUACCAUGUGACGGUACCCCUCCCGGGGCAUAGAAUAAUAUUUUCUCCAUAUUCAAUCCCAAAAUAUCUCUCCUGUCCUCUCUCCCACGUUCCUUUCUCUCCCUCUCCCCGAACUUCCCCACAUUUCUCUCUUUCUCUCUCUCGCUCGCUCGAAACACACACACACACACUCUUUCUCUCUCUCGCUCUGUCUCUAUUUUUUAUAAACAAAAAAAAAUCAUAAAAUGUAGAAAAUUUAGAUUGAAGGUUUGGAAGCUUUUAAAGGAAAAAGACAUUUGCUUAGUUUAUAUUAAAGAUAGAUAGAUAUUGAUUGCAAAACCAUCUCUGGAGGAACAAGCACCGUAACAAUAACACUUAAAAUCAGUUGAUACUUUUUUGAUCGCCGAAAGUGAAACUUUAGAGUCCCUAGCAUUUAGAAAGGUAAGGGAUAAUAGUAGAGGGUAAGAAACAGAUACCUUGGUGAUAUUUUAUCUUCAAUAUUUGGUUAAUUAAGGAAUGGUUUAUUGGUUAAUUUUAUUAGGAAACCCUUUUGAUAUCAGUAGAGUUCAAGUGUCCGGUUUAGGCUACUUCUUUUUGAAAGAUUGGAAAAUUAGAACAUACAAUGAAAUCUCUCCCUAUGAGUACCUUUGAAUUGGAACAAUGUCCUUGUGUUAUGCUACUUCUUCUUCGUAUGUUGGCGAGUAGGUGUGUUACUUCAACUUCACUACUUUAAAUUUAUGUUUUCCGAUUGCUUUUUGAUGAAGGUGUUGGAAAUAUGCUUAAUAAUUUUAUUUUUGGCCUCUGUGUGUGUUUGUGAGUUGACGAGCAAAGUGAGAGUUCAGAGUUAUGAGAGGGCUUAAGCUUGCACAUGUGAGAGGUGGAUAUUGCGUUGGGUUGGAAAUGAGUAGCUUGUUAACAUGAGUUUGCCAGAUUAUUAUGCAUGAUCAUCCAUAUCCUGGUUUGAACUUUAUUGGAAGGUUGUCCACAUAUUCUGGUUUGAUGCUUAACGAUUUUGUAAUGGAUAAAGAGAGUGCCAUUCUUCCUGCACCACAUUUGUAAAUAUCCUCUACCAUUCCUUACCACUCUCUCUCUCUCUCUCGAAACACACACUCACACACAAACACACACACACACACACACACACACACACACACUCUCUCUCUCUCUCUCUUUAUUAUUUAUAAAUGAAAAGAAAUAAAAAAUGUAGAAAAUUAAGAUUGAAGAUUUGGAAGCUUUUAAAGGAAAAACACAUUUGUUUAGUAUAUUAUAAUGAUAGAAAGAUAUAGAUUGCAAAACCAUCUCAGGAGGAACAAGCACUGUAACAAUUACACUUAAAAUCAGUGAAUAUUUUUAAGAUCGCCUAAAGUGAAUCUUUAGAGUCCC